GAACGAAUGAGCUCCUUCUUAGGUGACCAGGUUCUCUGAGACUUAGGGUGUCGAGAGACGCUGUUUGUACCCCACCAAGCUUCAGAUGGGAAGGACGGUCAAGUCUGAGCACAUCCCACUCCGCAGCCAGCGUCUUCCCCGACUUGUCUCUGGCUCAACUAAGAAAGAUGUCUUUCCGUUCCUUGAGGGCUUUUUCCUUCUCCAGAAAGAAAUCGUGAUACUUUCAUGGUGCCUGAGAAAAGACUAAAAUAAGGUUAUAAAAUUAACUCCGGGGAGGCUUAUGGUGACUUGUAUCUUGUUGACAGCUUUUAUGAAAUUGGAGAAAAGGCCUCAGGGAGAAAAGAAAAGGGAACCCAAGACUCUCCGAGGAGGAAUGAGAGCCCUUGAAGUCCCCCCCACAGACCAGCAGGGAAGGAGACUCUAGGAUUAGGAAAACCUCCCGGGGGGGGGGGACCUCAAGAGGCCUUUAAAGGGACCAGAGUUUCCUGCUGUGGACCUGAUGCCAAGCUCCUGCCUGACCCCGUGAGGUGUUCGCAGAGUGAUCUGUGGAAUGAAGGAACGAGCCAGUUCCACUGGCCCAGCCCGGCCCUGUCAGCCAGCGCUUGGGGACCUUGUCCAUUUUGUCAUUAUUUGUGAUGCUUGCAAUUGACUCUGUGGAUCACAGACUCCUCCUCCGAGAAGCUGAUGAAAGCAGCAGACUCUCUCUUCCCCAAACACAGGCUCCCGUGCACUGGUGCGGGUCCUUUUAGGUCGCCAGCUGCCACCGGAGCCUCCCCCACCCCUGGGACCUCCUAACCCAGUGACCCCUGCACCUUUCAGGCCUGUUUACGGCCUUCCUGACACUCUUCUCCACAGCUGUCACCUUCACGGGUCCUCAGAGCCCUUUUUCCUGUUUUCCGUUAGCCCCAGUAUUUAUUGUGCUUGUAAAUCUAUGAUUUGGGCUGGGCUCGGGGCUGCGCAGUCUCUGCCCGCCUGGAGGCCCCGGCUGGAAUCACCUGAGGCUGCGCUCACCUGUCCAGAUGUUGAUGUAGAACCACCUAAACAGCUAUCUCUCUGGCAUAUCCGGGACACUUCAAAUGUCCCCAUCUCACUACUUGAAACCCAGCUAUAGGGAUUAUUAAUACCUGUUGAUUGUGGCAAUUCAUUAACAUCUGUGUCACCGGUAUUGUUAGGUCCCUGAAGGCAGCCGGGCGCAGUGGCACACGCCUGUAAUCCCAGUGGCUGGGGAGGCUGAGGCAAGAGGAUCGCAGGUUCAAAGCCAGCCUCAACAAUUUAGCGGGUCACUUAGCAACUCUGUCUCUAAUAAAAUAGUAAAAAGGACUGGGGGUGUGGGUCAGUGGUUAAGUGCCCCUGAGUUAAUCCCUGGUACCAGAGAGGGAGAGGGAGAGAGAGAGAGAGAGAGAGAGAGAGGAAAAAAAUCCCAGAAAGAAUGAAAAAAAGUCCUUGAAGGACAAUGGGACAAUGACCACAACUUAUUUGUGCUAGUCCUCUAAAGCCUUAGCAGGGACUUUGUAUACAAGAAAGCAUUGAAUAUAUGUUUGUUGUUGGAGUGUGUGGAGGUCUGUAUCUGUUUUACUAUUACACCCUACUACAUUUCAAAAAGAGAUUAGAAGGGAGAGUAUAUACAGAUAUCAAUGUCAUAAGACAUUUAAAACAAGAAAAUGGAAAGACAGUAGAAUGAAUCGGACAGAACUUUCCUAUGCUCAACAUGAACACAUGACCGGUGUAACCCCACAUCAUGUACAACCUCAAGAAUGGGAAGUCAUACUCCAUGUAUGUUUGAUAUGUCAAAAUGCAUUCUC
rnacentral:lncRNA from 1 species